UACGUAGGUGGCAAGCGUUGUCCGGAUUUACUGGGCGUAAAGAGCGCGCAGGCGGUCGUGCAAGUCGCGUGUGAAAGCCCCCGGCUCAACUGGGGAGGGUCACGCGAUACUGCUCGACUCGAAGGCAGGAGAGGGAAGUGGAAUUCCCGGUGUAGUGGUGAAAUGCGUAGAUAUCGGGAAGAACACCAGUGGCGAAAGCGCUCUACUGGGCCAUAACUGACACUGAGGGACGAAAGCUAGGGGAGCGAAAGGG
rnacentral:rRNA from 1 species